AAGAAAGAAUGCAAGAACUGCUAAUUCAUGCCCCCAUGCCUAAAACCAUGGCUUUCUU
rnacentral:tRNA from 1 species